UACGGAGGUGGCAAGCGUUGUCCGGAUUUACUGGGUGUAAAGGGCGUGUAGCCGGGCUGACAAGUCAGAUGUGAAAUCCGGGGGCUCAACCCCCGAACUGCAUUUGAAACUGUUGGUCUUGAGUAUCGGAGAGGCAGGCGGAAUUCCUAGUGUAGCGGUGAAAUGCGUAGAUAUUAGGAGGAACACCAGUGGCGAAGGCGGCCUGCUGGACGACAACUGACGGUGAGGCGCGAAAGCGUGGGGAGCAAACAGG
rnacentral:rRNA from 1 species